UUGUCUUCGUCCCGGCAGACCGCUUCCAGCUUGUUCGCUAAAAGUUAAAAAGGAUAACAUUACGAAACAUUGCAGCAUACCAGAAGAGCUGGGUGGGUGACGUACCAUGCACAUUAGGAGCUACACGUCCAUCAAUCGCUUGUGGACGUAACUUGCAAAUAUAGAGCCUUUUCAAUACAAUGACAAUGACAGAACACGUGUCGUUGGACAUGGCGAACACGAAGUCGACGGGACAGCGCUCCGGGACGCAGCCGACAGACCGGCAGCGGAUCAGGCCGCCUUCGAAGCACGUGCAGGUGGUGCAUGGGUCGCCUGGGCGCUGUCGAGUCUCCCCGAACUUGUACAUUUCGCCGUCAUCCAGCUUACAUAAAUAUUAAAUGAAACUGAUGCAUUCGAAUGCAGUUUGUAACCUGGUGAUAUACCUACCGAUUUGUACGUUGACGUUAGCGGUGUCCCCGUAAGUGUUGCCCCUGUUGUUCACCGCGACGCACGUGUAGCGUCC